GACCAACACACUGAUAGACCUAGUGCACGGUUCUGACUGUCUGUCUGGUGGCUGACCAACACACUGAUAGAUAGGCCUAGUGCACAGUUCUGUCUGCCUGGUGGCUGACCAACACACUGAUAGAUAGGCCUAGUGCACAGUUCUGACUGUCUGGUGGCUGACCAACACACUGAUAGAUAGGCCUAGUGCACAGUUCUGACUGUCUGGUGGCUGACCAACACACUGAUAGAUAGACCUAGUGCACAGUUCUGACUGUCUGGUGGCUGACCAACACACUGAUAGAUAGGCCUAGUGCACAGUUCUGACUGUCUGGUGGCUGACCAACACACUGAUAGAUAGGCCUAGUGCACAGUUCUGACUGUCUGACCAACACACUGAUAGAUAGGCCUAGUGCACAGUUCUGACUGUCUGCCUGGUGGCUGACCAACAUACUGCCAGCAGCUCUUAGUAAGCACAGCUCUGUUUAUGACUUCAAGCCUAUCACCCUAAUGGCUGGUGUAAACGAUGUGAAAUUGCUAGCUCGUUAGCUGGGUGUGCGCUAAUAGCAUUUCAAACGUCACUCGCUCUGAGACUUGGAGUAGUAGUUCCCCUUGCUCUGCAAGGGCCGCGGCUUUUGUGGAGCGAUGGGUAACGCUGCUUCGAGUGUGGCUGUUGUCGAUGUGUUCCUGGUUCGAGCCCAGGUAGGGGCGAGGAGAGGGACGGAACCUAUACUGUUACACAGGCAAUACUAAAGUGCCUAUAAGAACAUCCAAUAGUCAAAGGUUAAUGAAAUACAAAUGGUAUAGAGGGAAAUAGUCCUAUAAUAGUCCUAUAAAUACUCUGGUGGCCGACCAACACACUGAUAGAUAGGCCUCGUGCACGGUUCCGACUGUCUGCCUGGUGGCCGAACUGCCUAGACUGUGCCAGUCCCCUCUCGCUCAGUCCUUCGCUAGCUCGCUAUGAGAGGUUACAUGAGAAGGAAAUGGAGGUAGAGUAAUGGUAGAACAGGUGCAAUACUAUGAGAGGUUACAAUGAGAAGGAAAUGGAGGUAGAGUAAUGGUAGAACAGGUGCAAUACUAUGAGAGGUUACAAUGAGAAGGAAAUGGAGGUAGAGUAAUGGUAGAACAGGUGCAAUACUAUGAGAGGUUACAAUGAGAAGGAAAUGGAGGUAGAGUAAUGGUAGAACAGGUGCAAUACUAUGAGAGGUUACAUGAGAAGGAAAUGGAGGUAGAGUAAUGGUAGAACAGGUGCAAUACUAUGAGAGGUUACAAUGAGAAGGAAAUGGAGGUAGAGUAAUGGUAGAACAGGUGCAAUACUAUGAGAGGUUACAAUGAGAAGGAAAUGGAGGUAGAGUAAUGGUAGAACAGGUGCAAUACUAUGAGAGGUUACAUGAGAAGGAAAUGGAGGUAGAGUAAUGGUAGAACAGGUGCAAUACUAUGAGAGGUUACAUGAGAAGGAAAUGGAGGUAGAGUAAUGGUAGAACAGGUGCAAUACUAUGAGAGGUUACAUGAGAAGGAAAUGGAGGUAGAGUAAUGGUAGAACAGGUGCAAUACUAUGAGAGGUUACAUGAGAAGGAAAUGGAGGUAGAGUAAUGGUAGAACAGGUGCAAUACUAUGAGAGGUUACAUGAGAAGGAAAUGGAGGUAGAGUAAUGGUAGAACAGGUGCAAUACUAUGAGAGGUUACAUGAGAAGGAAAUGGAGGUAGAGUAAUGGUAGAACAGGUGCAAUACUAUGAGAGGUUACAUGAGAAGGAAAUGGAGGUAGAGUAAUGGUAGAACAGGUGCAAUACUAUGAGAGGUUACAUGAGAAGGAAAUGGAGGUAGAGUAAUGGUAGAACAGGUGCAAUACUAUGAGAGGUUACAUGAGAAGGAAAUGGAGGUAGAGUAAUGGUAGAACAGGUGCAAUACUAUGAGAGGUUACAUGAGAAGGAAAUGGAGGUAGAGUAAUGGUAGAACAGGUGCAAUACUAUGAGAGGUUACAUGAGAAGGAAAUGGAGGUAGAGUAAUGGUAGAACAGGUGCAAUACUAUGAGAGGUUACAUGAGAAGGAAAUGGAGGUAGAGUAAUGGUAGAACAGGUGCAAUACUAUGAGAGGUUACAUGAGAAGGAAAUGGAGGUAGAGUAAUGGUAGAACAGGUGCAAUACUAUGAGAGGUUACAUGAGAAGGGAGGUAGAGUAAUGGUAGAACAGGUGCAAUACUAUGAGAGGUUACAUGAGAAGGGAGGUAGAGUAAUGGUAGAACAGGUGCAAUACUAUGAGAGGUUACAUGAGAAGGGAGGUAGAGUAAUGGUAGAACAGGUGCAAUACUAUGAGAGGUUACAUGAGAAGGGAGGUAGAGUAAUGGUAGAACAGGUGCAAUACUAUGAGAGGUUACAUGAGAAGGGAGGUAGAGUAAUGGUAGAACAGGUGCAAUACUAUGAGAGGUUACAUGAGAAGGGAGGUAGAGUAAUGGUAGAACAGGUGCAAUACUAUGAGAGGUUACAUGAGAAGGGAGGUAGAGUAAUGGUAGAACAGGUGCAAUACUAUGAGAGGUUACAUGAGAAGGAAAUCCAAACUUUUGCAAGGUGGAACUGAGGUACAGUAAUGGCAGUACAGGUGCAAUAGUUAGCCAUCUGAAAAGGGGAGGGGGGGCGUACUGUGAGACUCAAACCAUUGCUGGCAGCAGCGCAGCUGCAUUGAGAAUUCACAUGAAAUGUUGUGCAUUUUGUUGUUAAACCGUAUCACCCCAAAAAAGCCAUUUAAACAUGAUCAAAAAUGUUUCAUUUGUCACAUCCAUAGAUCCUACCUAAUAUCAGGAAGACACCUUUUUUUUGUGAUUAGACAAGUGAAAAGACAAGUGUUCACGAGUAAAGUUGCCUUUCCUUUUAUUGGGGAGUAAUUGUGUCAUGUAGGCAGAAACUGGAUCAUUGCAUUCAGACUGGUUGACUUACUACUGGAAGAAAGCUAUACAACAGCCUUUCAAUAUGGACCUUAGUUUUUAAUAUAGGUGAUGUACUGAGGUGAGUGAAUACCUGU